UACGUAGGGUGCGAGCGUUAAUCGGAAUUACUGGGCGUAAAGCGUGCGCAGGCGGUUGUGCAAGACAGGUGUGAAAUCCCCGGGCUUAACCUGGGAACUGCACUUGUGACUGCACGGCUGGAGUGCGGCAGAGGGGGAUGGAAUUCCGCGUGUAGCAGUGAAAUGCGUAGAGAUGUGGAAGAACACCGAUGGCGAAGGCAGCCCCCUGGGAUGAGACUGACGCUCAUGUACGAAAGCGUGGGGAGCGAACAGG
rnacentral:rRNA from 1 species